rnacentral:rRNA from 1 species
GGAUUGACACAUCGGUCGUGCCUUAAGGGGUAUGAACUGGUGUAGUCAAUUUCUCACCUUCUGGAGAACCACGAUGCCCUUAAUUGGGUGUCGCGGGGAACCAGGACCUUUACUUUGAAAAAAUUAGAGUGUUUAAAGCAGGCAUUUUGCUUGAAUACAUUAGCAUGGAAUAAUAAAAUAGGACGGCAUGAUUCUAUUUUGUUGGUUUCUAGGAUCACCGUA